UACGUAGGGCGCAAGCGUUGUCCGGAAUUAUUGGGCGUAAAGAGCUCGUAGGCGGUCUGUCGCGUCGGUCGUGAAAACUUGGGGCUUAACCCUGAGCUUGCGGUCGAUACGGGCAUGACUGGAGUUCGGUAGGGGGAGACUGGAAUUCCUGGUGUAGCGGUGAAAUGCGCAGAUAUCGGGGAGGAACACCGGUGGCGAAGGCGGCCAACUGGCCCGAUACUGACGCUCAUGUGCGAAAGCGUGGGGAGCAAACAGG
rnacentral:rRNA from 1 species